CGGGCAGCGCGCACGCGCGAGGGGGAGCGCGCGUCCAUCCCUCACGCGCCUCUACCGCGGAGCGCGAGCCGGGGGGAACGCGCCCGUCGCCGGUCUCUAUGGUAAGGCGGGGCGGCGGUGAGAUCAGCGCGCGCAGUGCGCAUGCGCAAGGCCGGCGUUCUAGCGGCGGCCGCGGAGGGCCGGAGUCGGAACGACCCCGCCGCGGUGCCGCAUCCACUUCCGGAGCGGCGGGCCCCGUUUCGGCGGGAGGGAGCUCGCCCCGCCCCCGCGGCCGUUACACGGGGCCCUGCCCCGCCGCCCUGCCCGGUUGCCGCGGCGACGGCGCCUGCGCGGUGCGCGAUGUGCGGGGCUCCCCGUGGGCGCGGUCCCGCCCCGCGCCCUCCGAACGCGGCUCCGCACGGCCGGAGCGGCUCUCAAAGAGACUGAAUUCUCCUGACAGAAUCAGAUCAGUAUCUCAAAAAGAUGUCUCCAGAGUUAUUGCUAGAUAACGGCAUGCUUUUCCUGCCAGUCCUUGACCAUUCCAAGUGAAGGAAACAGCAGUGCCUCGUCCAGAGGAGCUAUGAACAGCACGUGCUUGACAAGGGCUUCAGCUAGUGGUUUAACAGCAGACAGGACUAGCACAGCACAAAGGCAGCAACAUCCACCAACAAAGCAGCACGGAUUUUUCUCACCCACCUGCAAAAUGCACCACUUCCAGCUUGCUGAGAAGAGUUCUGUUCUGUGCUAAGGAGGGCUCUUUUGCACAACGUCUGCACAGGAAUCCGAGGGCUGAGCGCUCCAAGGUGAAACAUUCAUUUACAAGUAACAUGAGGAUACUUUGCUGCCCAUGAGAGCACAGGACUGGAGCCAAAGCCUGGCUGGCCCUGGGUUGUUUUCCUAGAGUUGAACAUACACUCAUGCAGACUUGGAAAGCCACAUUUCUUUUAUGUGCUGUCACAGCUCCACUGCUUGCAUAAAUAAGGGAUGGCACAACUUUGCCCGAUUCUUUAACUCUGGAUCUUUCCCUUUGCCCUAACCCUGGCAAUAACAUCUCAUGCACUGUUCACCUGAACGCACCCAUGCUGUGCUAAGGAAAAGGCAGCGCUGCUCUUGGCACAAGGAUAAAUAGCACAGACUAAUGCAAAGUGCUGACCAAGCUUCCGAGUGGUCUCUAUUUGCUCUAGCAACAUCCCUGGGCAACUCACCUUCUCUACUCCUCGCCUCUGAAACAGGGAACAAACUCCUUGCUUGUACCUUGACAGAACACUUGAAACAGAGAAAGCACUACCUAGCCUGGAUCAGUUACAAAUGUAGUAAUUCCUCAUUCUUUCCCUUGCAAGACAGUUGUCAUAGCUCCAGAUUUGAGCACUUUCAGCUCAGACAAUAUGCUACCUUUAAUUGGUUCUUUCCUGCCAAGCCUUAGUGUUCUGCAUCAGGCUCUUUCCACGUGAGAGCUGCCACUAACAAAACAGCACGCUGACCCACUUAGCUCCCAUGCAAAGGCACAUGAAGCUGUGCUUCAGUCACCAAACAGAAAGGAAAAUCUGAUAGCAGUAGGCUUUGAUUAAAGGGAAGUGAGCAAAUGGCUUCGAGGCUAACAGUGUGUAUGUGGGCACAUCUGUGUGUGCCUACAAGCUCACAGUAAUUUGGCCACCCAAGGAGAAAGAUCCCACAUAAAGGUCACCCCCACACAGUGUGAACUGAGUUUGAUUCAAGAUUUCCCAUUGGCAACGAGGUCCCACAGGCCAUGCACACAUCUCCUGGGCCUCCUGCAUUGACCUGCAGCCCCUGGAGGCAGACAAUGGUCACCUGGCCACAACAUCAAGGCAGCGUUAAUUGUGGUGCUUUUAUGUUUUGUAACUCAAGCUGAAACCCCCCAAAAACUGGCUGUUGGCUACUGGAAAGCUGGUGCUUCCAACCCUUUCUGACCUGAGAUGGACUGAAUGCAGCGGCCUGGGAGACAAAUGGUGUCUCGCCUUGGACAGCCAUAGGCAGUGGGUCUCGUGGUUGUGUUGCAAUGUACGUGUGCCCCUGCUCUUCCUGGCAGCCCUCAGGCCUCUGGGAAAACACAUUUACAGGUCAAACUAACAAGCAUUCUAUUUUUGUCUUACAUUUAAAUUGACAUUCAACAACAUUUCAGCCCCAUUUCCUCUUCCGUCAUAACAUCCCAUUUACACAUUCAGAUGGAUUUUUCCCUUCCUGUUCUUGUUCUGUUUCAUCAUCUGCUGUUUUCAUUUUACCUUUUUUUCCAUCAUCCAAACAUUUAUAAUUACGCUCACAUCUCCUGUUUUAUACAUACACAUCACACACCACGUACCUUACCAGCAUGGAUCUCUUUAAUCUUUGAAAAACAUUUCCUUUUUAUCCUCACCCAAAUAUUAAACCAACUGGAAAGUGACAUAUCAAGGUUAGGAAUGCAGCUUGCUCUUGACAAGGGAAAAACGCUGAGCUUUGCAAGAGGCUAAAUAAGUGGAUUAAGAUCCUUUCUAAAGAUUAGCUCACCCUUCACCCCAAAUGCAGAUUUCUACUGAAAUUAAUGGAUGCUCUUAUAAAAUUCAGUAGGAGGGCUGACAUUGAACAACAGCACAGCACACACAUACUGGCAGCCCACUCAGAACUGAGUGUCCAAAUCACCGACUGCAAAUGGCCCUUAACAACCAAUGGAUUGAAUGUCUGUCGUGUAUUGACACAGCAGGAUUUCAUCUUGUAAAAUUACAAACCAGUGGAAAAAAAAAUGAGCCAGGAGUUCAGGACCAAAACAAGGGCUGCAAUUCAUCUGACAUGACUGCACUGACAUUACACCAGAGGAUAAGGUUUGCCUUAGGAGUGUGUAUACUGCCUUUAAACUGAGGACUUUCACUUGUACAGCUCCCUCCUGCCCUGUCAGAGCCCUGCAGCUCCAGCAACUGCAAACUUGGAUCCUUUGCUUCCAGGAAACAAUUCAGUAGAGUACCCUUGAAACAUCACCCAAUUAAUAAACCACAGAACAUCAUACUUUACAUAGGAAACCUGAGGGAAAUGCUUUAUAGCUUUGUUUCACAUUUCCUCUGCCCAUCCUGCAGGCUCAGCCUGGCAUCUGGAGUCACACUGUUCUUUUUCCAGCUCUCCCAACAGAAAUCCAAAUCCUGCCAGCAGCAAAGCAGCUGUGCUGCUGCUGUCCUGGUACAGACCACGCUCACUCCCCCUGAUGCUGCUGCCUUCUGCAGGGCAUGCUGACAACAGCACCAUGACAGAGGCACUGCCCAUUUUAAAGAAACAGAACCACACACAAGCCAGGGGAACGGGCAGCAGUGUCCAACUGCAGAGCAGUCUGAGCCCCAGGUCAGUACCUGCUCACCACCAAGCCCUCAUCUCAGCCAGCACCAGAACAAUGCAAAGGAAGGAACAGAGCACUUCCAACUCACUGAAAAACGUUCUUCACCUGUGCCUCUGAGAUACUGCCAAGGCUCCAGCAAGCAGAUGCUGUGCUGACAUCCAGCUUUGAACAUCUGGAUGGUGCUCCACAGCUCCUGCUCCCCACCUGCUUCAUUGGUUGCCUCUCUCAAAUAACAGACAGAACUGCUUGUGUUCUUGUUUUUCCCCCAUCUCUUGCAAAGAUGUUUUCUGCUGCACAUCCCAUUUCCACCCCUGCAUUAUUCAGUACACUGGAGCUUUAAUGUGAAUCUGCACACAAUGGAACUGUUUGCAGUAAAGCAGCCCAAGGGUUGAAGAAAACCAUAAACCAGCAUUUUCCUCUCUGAUUAGAGCCCACUGCUGUGCAGGAACCCCCUCACAACAUAUCCUUUCCCAGCAUAUGAGAUCCACAUAGCUACUGGCCACAGGAACUCAGCUGUGUAAGUAAUCCACAGCUCCCAGGACAGCUAAGCAGCUCUGUCCCUGACACGUGCUUAAUUAAUGCUGGGUGUGAAGCAAUGAGAGGCCUCACCAUCCCCACACACGAGAAAAUGUCUCACUUCAGCAGUUCUCACUGCUGCAGCAAACCGCUUCCUGGGCUCUGACAGCUGCUGCCCCCAGGCAGGAGGGACAUGCCUGGGUUAGCAAUGUCAGGCAGAAUCGUGGCACAGGAUCCUUCUCACCACAUUCCCACCUUCUCCAUUCCAAGCAGUUUAGACUGGUCUCCAUGCAUCCUCAGCCAAAAUGGUGCAGACUGUCAGCGCCUGGAGUUGGAUGUUUCAUGGGGUUAGGCUGGAAACUCUGUAAUCCAAAUAGGAUGCAUUUGAAUGGCUUAUUGGACAAUAAGGGAAUCUGGUGUAAGAGGACCCGUAGGUGCUCCUAGAACACAUCUGACAGCGACUGCAUCCCACACGCUUCUGGUUACCCUCCCUGCAAUACCUUGCCCAGGAUCAGGGAUUUGCACAGCACACGGCACAAACAGCCCUGCCCAGACUCCUGCAUCACACAGGCAGAACGCGGACCAAACAGCUCAGCACAGACAGCUGGGAGAGGGAGAAGUUGCCAGAACCCCCCACCCCUGUUGGUACUUUACAUGGAGAGUAGGAUGCCACCUCUCAGAGCCACAUUCUUCCCCUGCACUAUGAACUAUUUGCAAACUGCUUUUAACCUUGUUCCUUGGGGCUGCAGACAUUUAAAAGCCAGGCAAGCAAGCAAACAGGCUAGUUAGUGGCAAGAACAAGUCACUUGCCCAGCCUGCUCUCCUCGCUUGGGGCUCACAGGCAGGCACUGCCAUCCAGACCAUCCAUUCCUAGCACACUGCUCAUGCACUGUGAGACCUGGGGGCCCUAUUCCACAUCUAACAGGUGAUAAAAACAAUUCCAUUUAAUUUCUUAAAUUUCUAGCAAUCUAACACUGCCAAGUUCAGACACACCUUUUUCUCCAGACUGGCUUCAUCAUUGCUAUCUUCCCUCUAUUUUUCAGCUAACUCUGCCUUUUUUUCCUUCUUUUACUUCCAAUGUUUCACAUACUGGGGAACACUGUGUACUCCUAAGCUGCAUUCCCCUUCCCGCAAAGUAGAGGAAGCUUAAUGAGUGUAAAUGAGUACGCUUUGCUAAAGAGCAUCUGUAUUUCUAAAGCUUGAAAAUGGUACUAGGUACCAAGUCCAGAAAGUUUCUCAUUACAGAAAGGCAGAGAGCUUGCAAGCUGUGCCUUGAAAACAAAAUCCCCAGCACACCUUGCAUCACUGUAAGAACAGUGCAUGCCCUAAAUCCAGGAGCUUUAUGAACCAACGACUGGAGAGCUGAGAAAAGAAGAUCAGUGCACGGACUGAAGCAUAACUCAUGACACAGCACGUCUGUUCAUUUGCUACGGAAAAUAUGUUUGGCAAGUAUCAGGUGUCUGAAUUUCUGCUUAUGCGCAUCUCCCAGGACAGCAGUAUAUUAAUAACUCAGGCAGCCUAAAAACAGAAACUGUCACCAAGAAAACUUACCCUUCUGCUGAGAGCUCCCUGCUUAGUGACUGUUACUCAAACGGUACAGAUUUUUGUUUCCUUAUUUUAAGAGUCACCAUCUAAGUCAAUCUCAAUUCAAAAACCAAUAAGAAAGGAAAAUUACAGCAGGAAGCAGAUCUUAUUAUAAACACAGUUUUCAGGAAUGUCUUCUUCCUAUCAAGACUUGUGCUGCCACACAAACAUGAAGAAAGCAGAAACCAGGACCCUAGUUCAGAUACACAAACCUUUCCAAGAGAUCCACAGAAGCAUGCAAGUAAUGCUCUGGAAGCUCGUGCAACCAGACAAGCAUGACAGGCAGUAUGAAAAGAAGCCACAGAGUCCAGCAGGGAAAAAAGCAGCAAGCACACAGAGGCUUCCAGGCAUGGGCAGACCUGGCACUGGGAGGAGCAGAAGAGAAAGCAGCACAAAUUUAAAAGGCAGGGUAGGGAGUGGGACACAUGGGAAGGAGUUACUCAACAAAAGUGAAACUAUACUGUAUAAGUUACAUUGUCUUAAGAGCAGCUUUAACUGAAGAGCCUUGGCAGAAGUAAUAUUAAUGGUGGUGGCACCAAAGGAAUGGGAAUAUUUAAGAUUCAUCUCAGACUUCUCCUGUAUUCUUAAGUCAUUUUAGAGGUGCAUCAGGCACACCAAUGCAGGUCACUCCAAAGUACUUGGGUUAGAUCAGUUUCUCUGUAAAUGUGGGAGGUCAAUUCCCAGAACUUACAUUGCUUUCCAGAGCAGUGUGUCCCACACAGCUGCAGUGCUGCCCUCCUCUGUCAGGCUGCGUUCAAGGGACCUGGCUGAGUGCAUCACACUGCUAACAGCCAUCUCUACUUCCACAACACAAAGUUUAAAAACAUGCAUUUUAAAAGAAAACUGUUCAUUCUGGGCAGAUACAUUUUAUUUUUCUUCUGUUGCUCUCUGUUGUACGAAGUCUUGUAGUAACCUUUUCCAGUGCUGCUUAUCUGUUCCUAACGCACUCAAAGUGCGUUGGUAUUUCUGCCAACCACGGCGGUCACAUUAAUUAAUCUCAAAGCACACUCCAAACCUUAACUACAAGUUCUACGGGUCUAAGGUGUAAACACUGCCUGUUUCACAUCAACAAGUAGAAGCACCCACCCCAAAAAACAGCCAACAGUGGCUGACGGUGAUCAUCAGGCUCAGUGGAACUCCACUGCAUGCCUAAAGUGACAAGUGAUUGAUAUGAAGACAAAACUCACCCAAAAACUCACCCAACUGUUGGCUUCCCCAACAGUUCCCCAACAGCAAAGGAAAGUGAUUUGAGUCACAGAGAGAAUGUCAUUAUAAUCACAUCUACCGCCAUCUCUUCUCACCUUCCUGAACCCUUUCCAAAUCCUCUGGCCACUCCACAUUGUGGCAAAGGGUGACGUUCCCAGCACUGCUGAAAGCAGGACUUAAAGCCAAUGGCUUGCUGGGGCAGCAUGGUGUCCUGUUUCUGCCCAAGACAGCUCUGGGAAAACCUGACUGAUCACCAACAAGAUGAAAUUCAAGGAUUGUCUUUCUUGGGGAAAAAACAACACCCUCUCCCCUUCUAUUUGUGUAAUUACGUGAGAAUUCACAUACAGCACAGACUUUCAGUUAAACAGAAGCACUACCAAAGCCAAUGUAACUAAGAACAGUUAAAAACUGUAUUUUAAGUCAUCAUUAAUAAGUAUAAAAUACAAAUGCCAUCAGCAGGCUCAGCAUGGACAGCCUAACAUUUCCUUUCAAAUCUGUGUGUGCUAGAGACAAAUUACAGAAU